ensembl:lncRNA
GUGACAGAGAGGGAGGAGGGAAUUGUGGGAUAGAUGGGGAAGGAGGGCAGAAGCGCGGGGGGGCGUGAUGCGGCUCAGAUUCCAUCGUUACCAAGGAACAGCAACAAGAAGAACUGCGUUUGUGUCAGAACGAGUGUGUGUGUGAGGAGAGGAGCUGCAUGCAGACUCUAGUGUGUCAGACACAAAGAGAGCGUGAGAGGAACGGUUUAGCUGUUGGCGGAGCGGCACAGAGAUCAGUGGAGGUGUGUGUACAUGAGUGUGUGUGUGUGUGCUCGCGCUCCAAAUAACUGCUAUGAAAUAAUGAAGGCAUGAGCGACGGCAGGAGACCGCAGGGACAGAGCCGGUCCAGCGGUGUGGUCUGCUCGGCCCUGUGGUCAUGUACAGCACACAAAAGACCUGGGACGUCGGCCACACCCCCUGCCUGCAGGAGCUCUGGAACGAAGACCUCUCAUUGGAUGUUUCAGCAAGUUCCGUGGAUAUCCUGAUGAGUGAUGGUGAGGAGGAGAGCUCCUUCCUCUCGUUGCCUAACUCUGUCCUUCAGCGCCACUGUUUGACCUCUGACCUCUCUGAAGCGGCCACCUCAGAACAGCAGCAGCUGCUCAUACAGACACUGCAAGAGAGAGUCUGUGAGUUCCAGGCACGUUUGCGCAGUGAAGACUCUGCCAAAAGACUCCUGCUACAGCGACUGCAGACACACGACCACCAGCUCAACCAAGACAACCACCUGAACGAGGAACAUUCAUCCAUUAACCAAGAACCUCAAGAGCAGCUCAGACUGCAGGACAGCCAGCUCAACCAAGCUGUGUCACCUACAGGUGAGAGAGAGGAAAUGGUUCAGAUUGUAGAGACUAUAAUUGUAAAUUAAAUUAGUCAUUUUUCAUAUUAUUAUUAUUAUUAUAAAUUAUAUAAAUGUUAUAUUUAUAACAUUUGAAUCUUAUUUUUAUACAUUUAUUAGAAAUAUUAUGGAAUGUGUGUGUAUAUAUAUAUAUAUAUAUAUAUAUAUAUAUAUAUAUAUAUAUAUAUAUA